rnacentral:rRNA from 1 species
UGCCCGAAGGGUGACGAAGCGACGCCGCGUGGGUGAGGAAGGCCUUCGGGUUGUAAAGCCCUGUCAGGAGUUAAGAAAUGUAGACUCGCUAAUAUCGGGUCUAUUUGACAAAGGCUCCAAAGGAAGCCACGGCUAACUCUGUGCCAGCAGCCGCGGUAAUACAGAGGUGGCAAGCGUUGUUCGGAAUUAUUGGGCGUAAAGAGCACGUAGGUGGAUUUGUAAGUCAGACGUGAAAGCCUUCUGUUCAACGGGAGAAUUGCAUCUGAAACUACAAACCUUGAGUGUAGGAGGGGAGAAUGGAACUUCUGGUGGAGCGGUGAAAUGCGUAGAUAUCAGAAGGAACGCCGGCGGCGAAAGCGAUUCUCUGGCCUAUUACUGACACUCAGUGUGCGAAAGCUAGGGGAGCAAACGGGAUUAGAUACCCCGGUAGUCCUAGCCGUAAACGAUGGGCACUAAGUAGAGGGG